UACAGAGGAUGCAAGCGUUAUCCGGAAUGAUUGGGCGUAAAGCGUCUGUAGGUGGCUUUUUAAGUCCGCCGUCAAAUCCCAGGGCUCAACUCUGGACAGGCGGUGGAAACUACCAAGCUGGAGUACGGUAGGGGCAGAGGGAAUUUCCGGUGGAGCGGUGAAAUGCGUAGAGAUCGGAAAGAACACCAACGGCGAAAGCGCUCUGCUGGGCCGACACUGACACUGAGGCACGAAAGCGUGGGGAUCAAACAGG
rnacentral:rRNA from 1 species